GAUCCUGGCUCAGAACGAACGCUGGCGGCAGGUCUUAGGCAUGCAAGUCGAACGGGUGUAGCAAUACAUCAGUGGCGCACGAGUGAGUAACGCGUGGGAAGCUACCCAUCUACUGGGGAAUAACGUUUGGAAACGAACGCUAAUACCGCAUACGCCCGAAAGGGGAAAGAUUUAUCGGUGAUGGAUGUGCCCGCGUUGGAUUAGCUUGUUGGUGGGGUAACGGCCUACCAAGGCGAUGAUCCAUAGCUGGUCUGAGAGGACGAUCAGCCACGCUGGGACUGAGACACGGCCCAGACUCCUACGGGAGGCAGCAGCUAAGAAUAUUGGACAAUGGGGGAAACCCUGAUCCAGCCCAUGCCGCGUGAAUGAAGAAGGCCUUCGGGUUGUAAAGUUCUUUUAGUAGUGAAGAUGAUGACAGUAGCUACAGAAAAAGCACCGGCUAACUUCGUGCCAGCAGCCGC
rnacentral:rRNA from 1 species